ensembl:snoRNA small nucleolar RNA, C/D box 97
AUGCCCAGUGAUUAUAAAAAGACGCGUUAUUCUGAGGAACACACCCUGCUACUAGUCUUUUCUCCUCUGUUUACUCUGCCUUUACUCUCGUCCACCUCUCCUGUCCAGCCUCCUCCUCCUCCUCUUCUUCUCCUCUUUUCUUCAAACUAGUGGCUGGGCCGCUGAUUGCGAUUAUGAGAUAUGAGGGCAU